rnacentral:rRNA from 1 species
UACGGAGGGUGCAAGCGUUAUCCGGAUUUACUGGGUUUAAAGGGUGCGCAGGCGGAUAUGUAAGUCAGUGGUGAAAUCUUCCCGCUUAACGGGAAAACUGCCAUUGAUACUAUAUAUCUUGAAUGCUGUGGAGGUAAGCAGAAUAUGUCAUGUAGCGGUGAAAUGCUUAGAGAUGACAUAGAAUACCUAUUGCGAAAGCAGCUUACUACGCAGAUAUUGACGCUCAUGCACGAAAGCGUGGGGAUCAAACAGG